CCGGGUUGCGGACAGUGUCUGGUGGGUAGUUUGACUGGGGCGGUCUCCUCCUAAAGAGUAACGGAGGAGCACGAAGGUUGGCUAAUCCUGGUCGGACAUCAGGAGGUUAGUGCAAUGGCAUAAGCCAGCUUGACUGCGAGCGUGACGGCGCGAGCAGGUGCGAAAGCAGGUCAUAGUGAUCCGGUGGUUCUGAAUGGAAGGGCCAUCGCUCAACGGAUAAAAGGUACUCCGGGGAUAACAGGCUGAUACCGCCCAAGAGUUCAUAUCGACGGCGGUGUUUGGCACCUCGAUGUCGGCUCAUCACAUCCUGGGGCUGAAGUAGGUCCCAAGGGUAUGGCUGUUCGCCAUUUAAAGUGGUACGCGAGCUGGGUUUAGAACGUCGUGAGACAGUUCGGUCCCUAUCUGCCGUGGGCGCUGGAGAACUGAGGGGGGCUGCUCCUAGUACGAGAGGACCGGAGUGGACGCAUCACUGGUGUUCGGGUUGUCAUGCCAAUGGCACUGCCCGGUAGCUAAAUGCGGAAGAGAUAAGUGCUGAAAGCAUCUAAGCACGAAACUUGCCCCGAGAUGAGUUCUCCCUGACUCCUUGAGAGUCCUGAAGGAACGUUGAAGACGACGACGUUGAUAGGCCGGGUGUGUAAGCGCAGCGAUGCGUUGAGCUAACCGGUACU
rnacentral:rRNA from 1 species